rnacentral:tRNA from 1 species
GCCCAGGUAGUAUAGCCUGGCCUAGUAUGUACGGCUGUCACCCGUACGACGCGGGUUCAAAUCCCGCCCUGGGCGCCA